AAAGCCGCGAGGCAGUGCAAAGCCCUAAAAGUCGUCUCAGUUCGGAUUGCAGGCUGCAACUCGCCUGCAUGAAGUCGGAAUUGCUAGUAAUCGCAGAUCAGCAUGCUGCGGUGAAUACGUUCCCGGGCCUUGUACACACCGCCCGUCACACCAUGGGAGUCGGUAACACCCGAAGUCGGUAGCCUAACCGUAAGGAGGGCGCCGCCGAAGGUGGGAUUGAUGACUGGGGUGAAGUCGUAACAAGGUAAC
rnacentral:rRNA from 1 species